rnacentral:rRNA from 1 species
CCUACGGGAGGCUGCAGUGAGGAAUAUUGGUCAAUGGCCGGAAGGCUGAACCAGCCAUGCCGCGUGAAGGUCAGUGCCCUAUGGGCGUUAAACUUCUUUUGUGCGGGAGCAAUAAUGGUCACGUGUGGCCAGACGAGAGUACCGUACGAAUAAGCAUCGGCUAACUCCGUGCCAGCCGCCGCGGUAAUUCGGGGGAUGCAAGCGUUAUCCGGAGUUUUUGGGUGUAAAGGGUGCGUAGGCUGUGAGGUAAGUCAGCGGUGAAAUGCCCCCGCUCAACGGGGUGAAGGGCCAUUGAUACUGCCUUGCUGGAAUGCGGAUGCCGUGGGAGGAAUGUGUGGUGUAGCGGUGAAAUGCAUAGAUAUCACACAGAACACCGAUUGCGAAGGCAUCUCACGAAUCCGCGAUUGACGCUGAUGCACGAAAGCGUGGGUAUCAAACAGGAUUAGAUACCCGGGUAGUC